GAUGAACGCUGGCGGCGUGCCUAAUACAUGCAAGUCGAGCGAACAGAUAAGGAGCUUGCUCCUUCGACGUUAGCGGCGGACGGGUGAGUAACACGUGGGUAACCUACCUAUAAGACUGGGAUAACUUCGGGAAACCGGAGCUAAUACCGGAUAACAUUUGGAACCGCAUGGUUCUAAAGUGAAAGAUGGUUUUGCUAUCACUUAUAGAUGGACCCGCGCCGUAUUAGCUAGUUGGUAAGGUAACGGCUUACCAAGGCGACGAUACGUAGCCGACCUGAGAGGGUGAUCGGCCACACUGGAACUGAGACACGGUCCAGACUCCUACGGGAGGCAGCAGUAGGGAAUCUUCCGCAAUAGGCGAAAGCCUGACGGAGCAACGCCGCGUGAGUGAUGAAGGGUUUCGGCUCGUAAAACUCUGUUAUUAGGGAAGAACAAAUGUGUAAGUAACUGUGCACGUCUUGACGGUACCUAAUCAGAAAGCCACGGCUAACUACGUG
rnacentral:rRNA from 1 species